UCUGCCAAAAAUCUCUCAUUGUUCACCCCUCUUUCAUAAACCCUACCCUUCACCUUUAACCCUUUUCUUUACCAAACCUCUAGAUCUACUCCAUAUCUUCCGAUUUCAUAUUUUCAGAAGGCAAGAUUUGUGGUAGUGAAACUUAAUCACGGGCCGACUGAUGGGUAAAAUUUCUGAAGCAGCUUUGUGAUGCAAUUGGAUGCGUGGAUUUUUGUGAGUAAUAAGGGUUUUGUUGUUCUUCACAGAUUACAAGUGAAGAACCAAUACGAGAAUUCUCCGGUAAGCGGCGACUCUAUUUCGCUUCUGAAAUGUUGAAACUUUCCACGAACAACCUAAAAUCACGUUGCUUUCUCCCCCUCAAAUCCUAGAUCCAUUUUCAAAAUUCAAACCUAAAAUCACGUCCUCUUUCUCUCCUAAAAUCUAUCCAUUUUCAAAAUUCAAACCCUACUCACCCAAAUCUCUCUCCCUCUCAGAUCUUCGCCAAAACCAAGCGUGCGUGCUCUCUCAUUCUCUAAUGAUGGUGAAAGGAGUUUUAGGGUUUAUGGUCAAAUCGAAUCAGGAGAAAAAAAUAUAGGGUUUACACAUCAAGUAUGAUGAUUUGAACAAAGGGCAUAGACAUUCAUCUGAUGAUCUUCAACAUCAAAAGGCCUUUUUCUUCUGCGUUAAUCUCGAAAAGAGAUAUAUGCAAUAACAUGAUGAAGUGGAUCUUUCUACCAUUGGAAUGGCUUUCAUAUUUUGAGCGGGACGAAAACAGUGGACUAAGUUUGGCUCCGCGUGUUUUGCAAUAAACUGGUUUAUUUCUUAUGGUUUAUAUAUGGGAUACUAAAACUGUCUACUUUACUACUGGUCUAGGGUUGAUUUUUCUUCUGCUUCACUAUAUGGAGCUUUAAAACGUGUCAACAUGUUUCCAUCGUUGCUUGUGUAGCCUACCCACAAAGAUAAGGAACGUAGUGGUCCGGCUGGAUAUAAAAAACAAGCCAUGGCUCAUGCGCUUUUGGUGGGUUUACGUGACUAGAGCCGAUGGUGAAUACAUUAGCAAGAAACUCUCUUUCAUCCACAAUGGCUGAUCCGUUCCAUUUAGGAUUUUCCUUCAAAAACUGCAAUUGCACCAAUAUUUCCAAAUUUUUUUUUUUGCCUCGGUUCCUACAGUGUCAUCUUCCCAAUGGGAUUGCUAUUAAGUAUUAACUACAAGGUCUGCACGGCGUAGAAAGUAGAAACGAUGGAUGCAGUACACGAAACAGCCCAGUAGUUGGUGGGCCUUUCAAGUUGAUUGGUUCAGAUGGUAAAUUAGUGAUCCAAAAGGGGGAGAAUGGAUACUAAUCUAAUUUGGUUAUACUUCAUCCCCUGAUGUAAGGCCAGCCGAAUUUGCCAAAUUGGCCAAGGCUAUCGAUACAACAGGUUCUUUCUCUUGCUUUCUUGAUAUAAUAUAAUGAAUAUCACAUAUAGAUUCAAAACACAACAUUAAGGUUUAACCUGUUUACGUUGGUAUUGAUCCACAACGCGAUACCCCAUCUCACCUUCGUGCUCAUCUCAAAGAAUUUAUGAGAGAAUGAUGGGUCUAACUGGACCAGUUGGUGUUGUAAGACGGAUGGCAAAUGAGUAUAGAUUGUUUUUUAAGAAGGCCGAAGAAGAUGGGGAUGAUUAUCUUUUCGAAUCUUCACACAUAUAUUCUUUGGGACACGAAACACGACAUGGAUGUGGAGUCACCCAUAUAUAAGAUAGCUUGAUCAUCAGCAAGGUAGGCGCAGUUGGCUGUGGAGUCGCCACUCUUGUGGUUUGAAUCUAUACUGAGUUAUUUUACAGGUUGAAGCUCUUGAAGACCAAAAGGCAUCAGAAAAGAGUAUAACGAGCUUGACACUGUCUGGUUUAUGGUUGGAUCUCUAUUCCAGGUAGAGGAACUCAUUCUGUGAAUCAGGUGCUACACUGCUACUUGCACUCAACUUAUGCAGAGUCGGCUGAAGUUUACCUUUCCAUAGCAUAUGUUCUAGGCUCAUUUUUAAAAUUAAAAUUGUUAUUGGACUUUGUUCUCUAUUUUGUUGGAUAAAUGUUGACCUUCAUUAAAUGUUCUGUGACUCACUUCUGUACCUUGAUAACGUAUGUCGUAAUGUAAAUUGUCACCCCCGCCGCAUCGCGCGGGCACCCUACUAGUACUACUAUAUAAAACAUAUCCAAAGGACUUCUUAAAGUCCAUAAAAAUUCCAUUAAAACACCAUUAAAGCAUGAUGUACAAUCCUCUAAAGCACAACAUAAUUUGGUUUUCCUAUUCUACCCUCACUCACAAAACAAGGCGGAGAACAAAACCACGUUAUCAGCUCAUUAGGGUUUCUGUCUUUCACAUCCGCCCCAUUUCUUCUCUCUCUCUCUCUCACCAGGAGAUAACCCUUGAUCGAUGGAUUUCACUGCCGAAUUCACUGGAUCGACGGAUUUCACCUGCGAAUCCACAUCUCAGGGUUUUUUCUCCGGCUAUGACCCUAGAUCGAUGGUUUUUUCUGUCGAAUCCACAUCUCAGGGUUUCUUUCUCCAGCGAUGACCCUUGAGCGAUGGAUUUCACCGGCGUUUUCAAAUCUCAGGGUUUAUUUCUCCGGCGAUAACCCUAGAGAUAGAUGGAUUUCACCAGCGUUUUCACAUCUCAGGUACCAUCUUAUUAACCAGAUCUGUAACUAUUUUCUUGCAGAUCUGUUAAAUUUUAGGGUUUGUUUCUACUUGAUUUGUGAAAUAGAUCCAGAUCUGUAACUAUUUUCUUGCAGAUCUGGUUACUUUCAGAUCCGUACAGUUUUAGUCAUGUUUUAAUCGGUAAAGUUAUCGGAUACUGAUUUGCUUCUUUUUCUAUCAUGGAUGUGAAUAAUGCAGGUUUAGUUUUAAAUCUACUUGUUGUUUAUCGUCUGUGAAUAAGUUUGGAUCUGGUUUCGUUUGCGAUCUAAGUAAGGUGUUUGGUUUUGUGUUGAAUAUGCUAUUUGUGGGGUGAUGUUUCAAGGCAUUAAAUAUAAAGGAAAUGAAUUGCUUAUAAAAAAACAGCUCAUUCGAGAAAACAAUUCAAUUCAGAUUAAACUAAAGCCAUCAAAUGUGUUCAUUUUCAUUUUGUGGGUGUGUGUGCUUUUUUUGGCAGGGUGUGGAGUUGAAUUUUUUUCUCACAAUGAGGCAUUCAAAAGGAUGAGAUUCUGUCAGAGAUGUUAUAAAAUGUAACAUGAAAAACAAACUUAUGUCUAUGUAGGUACUCAUUGAGAGUUUGAGACCACGAAUCCAUCUAUUGCUUAAUGAAUCAGGUGCCAAAAAGCUUCGAAGUGAAGAUGCUAGCCUUGAGGUUGUGGCAGCUGGUGUUGUUCCAAUUCUUGUUACUAGAGGCAUUGAGAAGACAAAUAAAGUGAGGCAUUGAGAAAACAAAUAAAGCUUUGGUGGCUGUGUUCAAGCCGAUCUCAAACUAGUUGAAUCGAAGGUUUCGUAGAUCUCGUUGGCCUUUUGUCAUUCGUCUCCCUUGGUGGUCAACAUUUGAAUGUUGGUGGCGCUUUUUUCUUUCUCUCAUAUUCAUCAACGAUUUCUCAGGCAGAGCAGGGAGCAAUUACUUGAACACUAACAAGUUCAUUGAUGUUGUCGCCGAUGAGCUCAAAGCAAGACUCCCCAACAAAUAAUCAUGAUGAUUCCUUAUUGGUUACAUGGUGGUCGAGACUUGAGGGUCAGUUUCAAAGAUUCUAAAGAGGUCUUUUAUUUUCUAUAUUUGUAACUGGAAUUUUGGCGAAUUUAUAUUAGAUACUACCAGACGACUAAGAACGGGUCUCUUUUGGCAUUGCUUUCUUGAUGGAAUUGUUGUAUAUAAACUUAAUUUCAUUUUUCUUAAGUAAAAGAAUGACAGUUAACAACACAUUUCAUCAGCAGACUCCCAAGAUUUGUGGGUAAAAAUAACUAUUUCUUCCGGAUUGCCGGAUUGCCUCACGCGAGUUGUAAUGUUAAAUUUUGUAUAUACUAAAGGAUGCUACAAGUUAGAUAGUAAAGGCUAAAAACUUUAGAGAGCGACGAUAUUUACCCAAAUGUACAGAAAUGUGACAAUCUGAGUUGUUUUGUUAGUCUUAUGGAUUAUUUGGGGGAACAACAUAUAAAAACAUGUGUAAAUGUGCUAUGAGCCCAAGACUAAUAAAAGUACCUAAGUAUCUAUGGGCUUGAUCGAGUGGGGCUGGGAUGGGUUGCCCUCAACAUUUUUGUUUUUUUGUAUCCUCUUAAAUUUUUAACUAUAACUGAAAUGAAAUAUUAGAUAUGUUGGGAUAGUUACCUAAUUCUUUUGGAGCAUAUUCAAAUAUAUGAGAGGCCGUAACAAUUUAAUUUGGUGUUCACCCAUAACCUAACCAUUGUGCUUAGUUCAGUGCAU
rnacentral:lncRNA from 1 species